rnacentral:rRNA from 1 species
GACGGAAGGUGCAAGCGUUGCUCGGAAUCACUGGGCGUAAAGGGUGCGUAGGCGGCUUGGUGGGUCUGGUGUGAAAGCCCCGGGCUCAGCCCGGGAAGGGCACUAGAAACUGCCGAGCUGGAGUGCCGGAGGGGAGAGUGGAAUUCCUGGUGUAGCGGUGAAAUGCGCAGAUAUCAGGAGGAACACCGGUGGCGAAGGCGGAUCUCUGGGCCUUACCUGACGCUGAGGCGCGAAAGCUAGGGGAGCGAACAGG